rnacentral:ncRNA from 2 species
UAAAUAACCAGCUUUUAUGGUGGCAAUUGUUUUUCAAUUGCCUUAAAAGGGAAUCCGGUGCAAAUCCGGAGCGGUCCCGCCACUGUAACAAGGAGCCUUAUGUCAAAAAAGCCACUGUCUAUUUAGAGACGGGAAGGCGGUAUAAGGCAGUGACUUGAAGCCAGGAGACCUGCCAUAAAUCGCAGCACACA